rnacentral:sRNA from 1 species
CCGGUGCUUCAGUGACCCGAGCUGCUGUGUGCGUGGCCUCCGUCCGCCCAGUCAUUCUGGCCUGUCUGUGACUGCUCAGGGGGUUUGGGCAGAGUGGGUGGAAAUGUCUUGCUGUACGAGAUCCAGGCUUAGGUCCCUUCCCCUGUUAUUUGUGUGGUGCUGGGGAUGGCGGGGGUAGGGGGACGAGGGAGAAGCUUUAAGGGUCAAGCCUGAGCAUCUGGGACACGAGCUGGGAGCUAAGCCUCAUCGGAAGAAGCCGGGUAGGCUGGCCUGGGAAGGUUCUUGGAGGCAGCAGCCCUCUAGAGUGUGAGGAAAGUGUUGGGAUUGCAGGUGCGCUCCCCUGGGGCCCCAGGGCCCCUGACUCUGAAGGAGGUGGAGGAGCUGGAGCAGCUGACCCAGCAGCUAAUGCAGGACAUGGAGCAUCCUCAGAGGCAGAACGUGGCUGUCAACGAACUCUGCGGCCGAUGCCAUCAACCCCUGGCCCGGGCGCAGCCAGCCGUCCGCGCUCUGGGGCAGCUGUUCCACAUCGCCUGCUUCACCUGCCACCAGUGUGCGCAGCA